ACGAACGCUGGCGGCGUGCUUAACACCUGCAAGUCGAACGGAAAGGCCCUUCGGGGUACUCGAGUGGCGAACGGGUGAGUAACACGUGGGUGAUCUGCCCUGCACUUUGGGAUAAGCCUGGGAAACUGGGUCUAAUACCGAAUAUGAUCAUCGGCUUCAUGGUCGGUGGUGGAAAGCUUUUGCGGUGUGGGAUGGGCCCGCGGCCUAUCAGCUUGUUGGUGGGGUAAUGGCCUACCAAGGCGACGACUGGUAGCCGGCCUGAGAGGGUGACCGGCCACACUGGGACUGAGAUACGGCCCAGACUCCUACGGGAGGCAGCAGUGGGGAAUAUUGCACAAUGGGCGCAAGCCUGAUGCAGCGACGCCGCGUGAGGGAUGACGGCCUUCGGGUUGUAAACCUCUUUCAGCACAGACGAAGCGCAAGUGACGGUAGGUGCAGAAGAAGGACCGGCCAACUACGUG
rnacentral:rRNA from 1 species